rnacentral:rRNA from 1 species
GGGGAAUAUUGCACAAUGGGCGAAAGCCUGAUGCAGCGACGCCGCAUGCGGGAUGAAGGCCUUCGGGUUGUAAACCGCUUUUAAUUGGGAGCAAGCGAGAGUGAGUGUACCUUUUGAAUAAGCACCGGCUAACUACGUGCCAGCAGCCGCGGUAAUACGUAGGGUGCAAGCGUUAUCCGGAAUUAUUGGGCGUAAAGAGCUCGUAGGCGGUUUGUCACGCCUGGUGUGAAAGUCCAUCGCUUAACGGUGGAUCUGCGCCGGGUACGGGCAGGCUAGAGUGCAGUAGGGGAGAUUGGAAUUCCCGGUGUAACGGUGGAAUGUGUAGAUAUCGGGAAGAACACCAAUGGCGAAGGCAGAUCUCUGGGCUGUUACUGACGCUGAGGAGCGAAAGCAUGGGGAGCGAACAGGAUUAGAUACCCUGGUAGUCCAUGCCGUAAAACGGUGGAUGCUGGAUGUGGG